rnacentral:rRNA from 1 species
CAAAACUUUCAACAACGGAUCUCUUGGUUCCGGCAUCGAUGAAGAACGCAGCAAAAUGCGAUAAGUAAUGUGAAUUGCAGAAUUCAGUGAAUCAUCGAACCUUUGAACGCACAUUGCGCCCUUUGGUAUUCCAGAGGGCAUGCCUGUCCGAGCGUCAU